rnacentral:lncRNA from 1 species
UAUCCUGAUGGACUUCAUCAGACACCACCGCGGUGACUAGACACAGACUCACUUUACAGAAUUUUCAUGCAUUAACAAAAUUUAAGCCCAAUGUUUUAAUUCAUUAAUAUACACCCAACAUAACAGACUCUCAUAACAUACAUUCCAGACACACAUAUACAACCAUACUUCAACGCUUCAAUACUCAUACACUAGUCAUC